GGAAAGGAGGGACAGUCACGGAGGGAUUGAGGGAGGGAAUUCCAGAGCUUAGGGGUCAUGGCGCUGAAAGACCUGCCACCUAGGGUAGAGACUGACAAAAGGGGAAGUUUGAAAUAGGACGGUAGUUGGAGAGAGAAGUGGGAUCAGAGUCAGGCUUCUUUAAAAUAGGGGUAACUGCAGCAGUUUUCAGAGCAGGGGGAACAACACCAGAGGCUAGAGUCAACUAGUAAGUUACAGCCACUGGUUCACAGAUAGCUGUGGUGCAUGCCUUAAGUAGGGGGGUGGGGGCAGGGUCAGGCUGACAGGAGGAGGGGUUAGAUUUAGUGAUAAUAUUUGUAAGGGCAGU